GCCCAGUUAGCUCGGUGGCUAGAGGAUCUGCCUUGUAAGCGCUAGACCGCGGGUUAAAUUCCCGCCCGGAGCG
rnacentral:tRNA from 1 species